GACGUAGGGGGCGAGCGUUGUCCGGAUUUAUUGGGCGUAAAGAGCUCGUAGGCGGCUCGUUGCGUCGGCUGUGAAAACCCGCAGCUCAACUGUGGGCUUGCAGCCGAUACGGGCGGGCUGGAGUUCGGUAGGGGAGACGUGGAAUUCCUGGUGUAGCGGUGAAAUGCGCAGAUAUCAGGAGGAACACCGGUGGCGAAGGCGGGUCUCUGGGCCGAUACUGACGCUGAGGAGCGAAAGCGUGGGGAGCGAACAGG
rnacentral:rRNA from 1 species